UACGAAGGGGGCUAGCGUUGCUCGGAAUCACUGGGCGUAAAGCGCACGUAGGCGGAUUGCUAAGUCAGGGGUGAAAUCCUGGAGCUCAACUCCAGAACUGCCCUUGAUACUGGCGGUCUCGAGUCCGGGAGAGGUGAGUGGAACUGCGAGUGUAGAGGUGAAAUUCGUAGAUAUUCGCAAGAACACCAGUGGCGAAGGCGGCUCACUGGCCCGGUACUGACGCUGAGGCACGAAAGCGUGGGGAGCAAACAGG
rnacentral:rRNA from 1 species